GACGAACGCUGGCGGCGUGCUUAACACAUGCAAGUCGAGCGGAGCGGCGAACGGGAGAGUACCGCGUGAGUAACUGCCCCCCUCUCUGGGAUAACAGUUGGACACGGCUGCUAAUACCGGCUAGUGGGGGAUGACUCGCGUCCUAUCAGCUUGUUGGUGGGGUAGUGGCCUACAAAGGCGACGACGGGUAGCCGGCCUGGGAGGGCGACCGGCCACAUCGGGCUGAACUACGGCACUAAGUCGUACGGGAGGCAGGAGUGGGGUGUAUUGCACAAGGGGGGAAACCCGGAUGCAGCAGCGCCGCGUGCGGGAUGAGGGCAUUCGGGUUGUAAACCGCUUUCAGCCAUGGCGCGGUAGUGGCAGAAGAAGCACCGGCUAACUACGUGCCAGCCGCCGCGGUGAUAC
rnacentral:rRNA from 1 species